AAGACUUUGCCGGAUUAGCUGAGAGGUGUGCAUGGCCGUCGUCAGUUCGUACUGUGAAGCAUCCUGUUAAGUCAGGCAACGAGCGAGACCCACGCCCACAGUUGCCAGCGUACUCUCUGGAGUGACGGGUACACUGUGGGACCGCCGCUGCUAAAGCGGAGGAAGGAAUGGGGCAACGGUAGGUCAGUAUGCCCCGAAUAUCCCGGGCUACACGCGAGCUACAAUGGUUGGUACAAUGGGUAUCUACCCCGAAAGGGGACGGGAAUCUCCUAAAACCAAUCUUAGUCCGGAUUGAGGGCUGCAACUCGCCCUCAUGAAGCUGGAAUCCGUAGUAAUCGCGUUUCAACAGAACGCGGUGAAUACGUCCCUGCUCCUU
rnacentral:rRNA from 1 species